GCCAGACUCCUACGGGAGGCAGCAGUGGGGAAUAUUGGGCAAUGGGCGCAAGCCUGACCCAGCAACGCCGCGUGAAGGAAGAAGGCUUUCGGGUUGUAAACUUCUUUUGACAGGGAAGAGCAGAAGACGGUACCUGUCGAAUAAGCCACGGCUAACUACGUGCCAGCAGCCGCGGUAAUACGUAGGUGGCAAGCGUUGUCCGGAUUUACUGGGUGUAAAGGGCGUGUAGCCGGGCUUACAAGUCAGAUGUGAAAUCCGGGGGCUCAACCCCCGAACUGCAUUUGAAACUGUAGGUCUUGAGUAUCGGAGAGGCAGGCGGAAUUCCUAGUGUAGCGGUGAAAUGCGUAGAUAUUAGGAGGAACACCAGUGGCGAAGGCGUCUUACUGGAUCGAAACUGACGUUGAGGCUCGAAAGCGUGGGGAGCAAACAGGAUUAGAUACCCGCGUA
rnacentral:rRNA from 1 species